AAAAAAACAAACAUUGGUUUUUCGUGUUCAACUUUGAUUGUCCGUCUUAUAUGAAUUUUUUUAUAAUUCGUAUUUUUAUUGUUGUUAGAUGAUAAAACAUGAUUAAUAUUUUAUAUGUAACUUGUCUUUUUAAUUUUUUUUUAUAAUUUUUUUAAAUAAGAUGGACAUGUUGGACACGGAAAGCAGGGUUUGUCUUUUU
rnacentral:pre_miRNA from 1 species